UACGAGGGGUGCAAGCGUUGCUCGGAAUUAUUGGGGCGUAAAGGGUAGGUAGGUGGUCUCAUUUGUCUGGGGUGAAAGCCUUGAGCUUAACUCAAGAAGUGCCCCGGAAACGGUGAGACUGGAGUCCUGGAGAGGGUCGUGGAAUUCCCGGUGUAGCGGUGAAAUGCGUAGAGAUCGGGAGGAACACCAGCGGCGAAGGCGGCGACCUGGACAGGUACUGACACUCAACUACGAAAGCGUGGGGAGCAAACAGG
rnacentral:rRNA from 1 species